rnacentral:rRNA from 1 species
CGAUGCAACGCGAAGAACCUUACCUGGGCUUGACAUGUACGUAGUAGUGAAGGGAAACCGGAACGAGCCUUCGGGCAGCGUAGACAGGUGCUGCAUGGCUGUCGUCAGCUCGUGUCGUGAGAUGUUGGGUUAAGUCCCGCAACGAGCGCAACCCGUGUUGCUAGUUACAAGUGUCUAGCGAGACUGCCGGUAACAAGCCGGAGGAAGGUGCGGAUGAUGUCAAGUCAGCAUGGCCUAUAUGUCCAGGGCUACACACACGCUACAAUGGCUGGUACAAAGAGAAGCGAAAGGGAGACCUGAAGCGAAUCUCAUCAAAGCCAGUCAUAGUUCGGAUUGCAGGCUGCAACUCGCCUGCAUGAAGUCGGAGUUGCUAGUAACCGCAGGUCAGCAAUACUGCGGUGAAUACGUUCCCGGGCCUUGUACACAC